GUGAAGAACGUAGCGAAAUGCGAUAAGUAAUGUGAAUUGCAGAAUUCAGUGAAUCAUCGAAUCUUUGAACGCACAUUGCGCCCGCCAGUAUUCUGGCGGGCAUGCCUGUUCGAGCGUCAUUUCAACCAUCAAGCCCCCGGCUUGUGUUGGGGACCUGCGGCUGCCGCAGGCCCUGAAAACCAGUGGCGGGCUCGCUGUCACACCGAGCGUAGUAGAUUUUCAUCUCGCUCAGGGCGUGCUGCGGGUUCCGGCCGUAAAAAGCCUUAUUUACCCAAGGUUGACCUCGGAUCAGGUAGGAAGACCCGCUGAACUUAAGCAUAUCAAUAAGCGGAGGA
rnacentral:misc_RNA from 1 species